UACGUAGGGUGCGAGCGUUGUCCGGAAUUAUUGGGCGUAAAGGGCUCGUAGGCGGUUUGUCGCGUCGGGAGUGAAAACCAGGUGCUUAACCCCUGGCUUGCUUUCGAUACGGGCAGACUAGAGGUAUUCAGGGGAGAACGGAAUUCCUGGUGUAGCGGUGAAAUGCGCAGAUAUCAGGAGGAACACCGGUGGCGAAGGCGGUUCUCUGGGAAGGACCUGACGCUGAGGAGCGAAAGUGUGGGGAGCGAACAGG
rnacentral:rRNA from 1 species